GACGAACGCUGGCGGCGUGCUUAACACAUGCAAGUCGAACGGAAAGGCCUGCUUUCCCUUGUGGAUUGCGGGUACUCGAGUGGCGAACGGGUGAGUAACACGUGAGUGAUCUGCCCCCAACUUGGGUAUAAGCCUGGGAAACUGGGUCUAAUUCCCGAUAGGACUGCAGGGUGGUGCCUGUGGUGGAAAACGAUUUUCUAGUGGUUGGGGAUGAGCUCGCGGCCUAUCAGCUUGUUGGUGGGGUAAUGGCCUACCAAGGCGGCGACGGGUAGCCGGCCUGAGAGGGUGGACGGCCACAUUGGGACUGAGAUACGGCCCAGACUCCUACGGGAGGCAGCAGUUGGGAAUAUUGCACAAUGGGCGGAAGCCUGAUGCAGCGACGCCGCGUGGGGGAUGACGGCCUUCGGGUUGUAAACUCCUUUCGACCGCGAGGAAGCCACCUAGUUGGAAGGGUGGUGACGGUAGUGGUAGAAGAAGCACCGGCUAACUACGUG
rnacentral:rRNA from 1 species